rnacentral:rRNA from 1 species
UGCCAGCCGCCGCGGUAAUACGAACUGUGCAAACGUUAUUCGGAAUCACUGGGCUUAAAGGGUGCGUAGGCGGGCAGGUAGGUCAGAUGUGAAAGCCCACGGCUCAACCGUGGAAUUGCGUUUGAAACCACUUGUCUUGAGGGGAUCAGGGGAGAGCGGAACUGAUGGUGGAGCGGUGAAAUGCGUUGAUAUUAUCAGGAACACCGGUGGCGAAGGCGGCUCUCUGGGGGAUGACUGACGCUGAGGCACGAAAGCUAGGGGAGCGAACAGGAUUAGAUA